CCUACGGGAGGCAGCAGUGGGGAAUAUUGGACAAUGGGGGGAACCCUGAUCCAGCCAUACCGCGUGUGUGAAGAAGGCCCUCGGGUUGUAAAGCACUUUCAGUGAGGAAGAACGCCUGGUGGUUAAUACCCAUCAGGAAAGACAUCACUCACAGACGAAGCACCGGCUAACUCCGUGCCAGCAGCCGCGGUAAUACGGAGGGUGCGAGCGUUAAUCGGAAUUACUGGGCGUAAAGCGCGCGUAGGUGGCUUGAUAAGCCGGUUGUGAAAGCCCCGGGCUCAACCUGGGAACGGCAUCCGGAACUGUCAAGCUAGAGUGCAGGAGAGGAAGGUAGAAUUCCCGGUGUAGCGGUGAAAUGCGUAGAGAUCGGGAGGAAUACCAGUGGCGAAGGCGGCCUUCUGGACUGACACUGACACUGAGGUGCGAAAGCGUGGGUAGCAAACAGGAUUAGAUACCCCAGUAGUC
rnacentral:rRNA from 1 species